rnacentral:rRNA from 1 species
AUUGAACGCUGGCGGCAGGCCUAACACAUGCAAGUCGAACGAGUGGCGGACGGGUGAGUAAUGUCUGGGAAACUGCCUGAUGGAGGGGGACAACUACUGGAAACGGUAGCUAAAACCGCAUACCUGAAGAUGUGCCCAGAUGGGAUUAUCGUGUGGGUGGGGUAACGGCUCACCAAGGCGACGAUCCCUAGCUGGUCUGAGAGGAUUAUCAGUCACACUGGAACUGAGACACGGUCCAGACUCCUACGGGAGGCAGCAGUGGGGAAUAUUUGACAAUGGGCGAAAGCCUGAGGCAGCCAUGCCGCGUGUGUGAAGAAGGUCUUCGGAUUGUAAAGCACUGUAAGUGGGGAAGCGUUACCAACAGAAUAAGCACCGGCUAACUUCGUGCCAGCCGCCGCGGUAAUAC